AGACUUACUUGGCAAGGGAAAUACCAUGAUCAUGUAGGCAGUUUUCCUAGGGCAAGGCUCCUCAUUCCAGAUCUGCUAACCCCUGAGNUUUCCCCAAAUGUGGGAAACUCAACUACAUAUUUGUGGCAGUGGGAGGACUGUAUUCUCACU
rnacentral:snRNA from 1 species